GUGAGUGAUGAAGGUUUUCGGAUCGUAAAGCUCUGUUGUUAGGGAAGAACAAGUGCGAGAGUAACUGCUCGCACCAUGACGGUACCUAACCAGAAAGCCACGGCUAACUACGUGCCAGCAGCCGCGGUAAUACGUAGGUGGCAAGCGUUGUCCGGAAUUAUUGGGCGUAAAGGGCUCGCAGGCGGUUUCUUAAGUCUGAUGUGAAAGCCCCCGGCUCAACCGGGGAGGGUCAUUGGAAACUGGGAAACUUGAGUGCAGAAGAGGAGAGUGGAAUUCCACGUGUAGCGGUGAAAUGCGUAGAGAUGUGGAGGAACACCAGUGGCGAAGGCGACUCUCUGGUCUGUAACUGACGCUGAGGAGCGAAAGCGUGGGGAGCGAACAGGAUUAGAUACCCUGGUAGUCCACGCCGUAAACGAUG
rnacentral:rRNA from 1 species